rnacentral:rRNA from 1 species
UACGUAGGGGGCAAGCGUUGUCCGGAUUUAUUGGGCGUAAAGAGCGUGUAGGCGGUCAGGUAAGUCCGUUGUGAAAACUCGAGGCUCAACCUCGAGACGCCGAUGGAAACCAUCUGACUAGAGUCCGGAAGAGGAGAGUGGAAUUCCUGGUGUAGCGGUGAAAUGCGUAGAUAUCAGGAAGAACACCCGUGGCGAAGGCGGCGCUCUAGUACGGUACUGACGCUGAGACGCGAAAGCGUGGGGAGCGAACAGG